rnacentral:snoRNA from 1 species
CAGGCCCCAGCUGAAGGCAAAUGGCUUGCGGUAGCCAUUGGUUUCAAACAGGUGCCUAAAGGAAAAUUUUCCCAUGGUCUGUUGACUGUUCUGAAUGUCAGAAUAGAAUAGCCAGUUCACUUGGGAGUAACAUCC